ACGCUCGAUACCUACGGGGGCAGCAGUGGGGAAUAUUGCACAAUGGGGGAAACCCUGAUGCAGCAACGCCGCGUGAAGGAAGACGGUUUUCGGAUUGUAAACUUCUGUUCUUAGUGAAGAUAGUGACGGUAGCUAAGGAGCAAGCCACGGCUAACUACGUGCCAGCACGCCGACGGUAAUCUGAGGCGGGCGUGGACGAAGGC
rnacentral:rRNA from 1 species